AUUGGUCAAGUGGUGAUUAGAUGCAUAGUUGCAUAGUUCAAAUGACUAAUCCCUGAUUAUAACACUCUUUAGUCUUUCGCUCCUAUCCGAUGGCCUCU